rnacentral:rRNA from 1 species
AGAGUUUGAUCCUGGCUCAGGACGAACGCUGGCGGCGCGCCUAACACAUGCAAGUCGAACGAGCGAGAGAGAGCUUGCUUUCUCGAGCGAGUGGCGAACGGGUGAGUAACGCGUGAGGAACCUGCCUCAAAGAGGGGGACAACAGUUGGAAACGACUGCUAAUACCGCAUAAGCCCACGGGUCGGCAUCGACCAGAGGGAAAAGGAGUAAUCCGCUUUGAGAUGGCCUCGCGUCCGAUUAGCUGGUUGGUGAGGUAACGGCCCACCAAGGCGACGAUCGGUAGCCGGACUGAGAGGUUGAACGGCCACAUUGGGACUGAGACACGGCCCAGACUCCUACGGGAGGCAGCAGUGGGGAAUAUUGCACAAUGGGGGAAACCCUGAUGCAGCGACGCCGCGUGGAGGAAGAAGGUCUUCGGAUUGUAAACUCCUGUUGUUGGGGAAGAUAAUGACGGUACCCAACAAGGAAGUGACGGCUAACUACGUGCCAGCAGCCGCGGUAAAACGUAGGUCACAAGCGUUGUCCGGAAUUACUGGGUGUAAAGGGAGCGCAGGCGGGAAGACAAGUUGGAAGUGAAAUCUACGGGCUCAACCCAUAAACUGCUUUCAAAACUGUUUUUCUUGAGUAGUGCAGAGGUAGGCGGAAUUCCCGGUGUAGCGGUGGAAUGCGUAGAUAUCGGGAGGAACACCAGUGGCGAAGGCGGCCUACUGGGCACCAACUGACGCUGAGGCUCGAAAGUGUGGGUAGCAAACAGGAUUAGAUACCCUGGUAGUCCACACCGUAAACGAUGAUUACUAGGUGUUGGAGGAUUGACCCCUUCAGUGCCGCAGUUAACACAAUAAGUAAUCCACCUGGGGAGUACGACCGCAAGGUUGAAACUCAAAGGAAUUGACGGGGGCCCGCACAAGCAGUGGAGUAUGUGGUUUAAUUCGACGCAACGCGAAGAACCUUACCAAGUCUUGACAUCCCUUGACAGGCAUAGAAAUAUGUUUUCUCUUCGGAGCAAGGAGACAGGUGGUGCAUGGUUGUCGUCAGCUCGUGUCGUGAGAUGUUGGGUUAAGUCCCGCAACGAGCGCAACCCUUAUGGUCAGUUACUACGCAAGAGGACUCUGGCCAGACUGCCGUUGACAAAACGGAGGAAGGUGGGGAUGACGUCAAAUCAUCAUGCCCUUUAUGACUUGGGCCACACACGUACUACAAUGGCGUUAAACAAAGAGAAGCAAGACCGCGAGGUGGAGCAAAACUCAGAAACAACGUCCCAGUUCGGACUGCA